UAAUACGGAGGGGGCAAGCGUUGUUCGGAAUUACUGGGCGUAAAGGGCGCGUAGGCGGAUUAUCAAGUCAGAGGUGAAAGCCCUGGGCUCAACCUGGGAACUGCCUUUGAAACUAGUAGUCUUGAGUCCGAGAGAGGAUGGCGGAAUUCCCAGUGUAGAGGUGAAAUUCGUAGAUAUUGGGAAGAACACCAGUGGCGAAGGCGGCCAUCUGGCUCGGUACUGACGCUGAGGCGCGAAAGCGUGGGGAGCAAACUGGAUUAGAUACCCUGGUAGUCCACGCUGUAAACGAUGUGUGCUAGCCGUUGGGAAACCUAGUUUUUCAGUGGCGCAGCUAACGCAUUAAGCACACCGCCUGGGGAGUAUGGUCGCAAGAUUA
rnacentral:rRNA from 1 species